rnacentral:lncRNA from 1 species
UGCCAAAGGUCUGCUGGCUCUUUUGUUAGGUAGAGGUUUCUUUCUGUGUUUGCAAGUAUGGGUGGUAAUUUGUUUAUUUGUUUUCCACUGUUUAAAUAAGCAACCUUAAGAACAAAGAUCCUUUAAGGAGAGGCUCUGAGACAGCUCUCCAGAGUAUGAGAGUGAGGGGUUUCUGAUGGGCUGUGAGGCAGAUGCUGGCUACGUGGCAGGUUGUGUACCACAGCCUCCUAAAACUGGGAGGCAUCAGCAACUGCUUCCCCCUGCCGUUUCCUGGAAGGAGGGACUUGCUGAGAUGGUGUCUGCUCCUGACCCAAAGGGUGACCAGGCCAGUGGCAGCAGCAACCAGCUAGCUUCAGCCAGCAGGCUCUCUGCUCAGGUCUUUAAAAAUGUAUUUCAAAGCCACUCUGGAUCAAAAGGAGUUCUGAAGAGGGAUAAAGAAGGGGACAGAAGAGAGAGCUGCAGGAGGAAAAGACAAGCGCUGGCAUGCUUGUAAGUGGGACAGCGUGAGAUUCCCCUUGGACCAGCCAUUUCCGUGAGAUUGCUGUUAAAGGUCCGGCCAGUAUCACUGCAGUGAGUCUACAUGAACGAACUCGUGGAGAACAUCCAACAAGCAGGGCCAAGUCUUACUGGCACUGUCCUGGCAUGUCGCUGGUGGAAACUAUACUGCCAGCUACCUUGAACAACAAAUGAGGGUAAAGCUCCAGCUUGAGGCAUGCACAUUUUUUCCCUAGAAGCGUCCUGAUGCUGUCCGUCACUCAAGCUCCUCAGCACAAAGCACUCUGUGCGAUCGAGCUGCUAGCACCUCCACCCAGUGCUCCCACUGACGACAGAGGGAGUCCCAGUCACAGGGUCCCUGACAGACCGGACCUCUCGCGCCGCGCCCCUGCUUCCCGCAGGCAUUCGUCACAGCGUUCAGCACCGCUUGGCCUAGGUCAGAUGCCUGCGUUAUUCCGCUGGCCAAACCCCUCGCAGUGGGAUACAGUGCUAGCUCUCUCUUUUUGUUUCUCUUUGUUUAUAGUACUCGAUCCAGCUUUCAGGCCAUGCGCAAAUGCUCUGCUCCCAGCCAACUUGAAUUCAUUUCAAGGAAGAUUGCACAAGAAUUCAGCUCUGCUGCUCCGAGCCAGGCCUGCUGGGCUGGCUGUUUUGUUCUCUCGGGCCCCAGUCCUGCCGAAGGACCUGCUGGCACAAACCCCUGGAGGAACAAGGUUCCUGGAUGCUGGUGAGAAACAGGUUGCUAUCUGAUAUAUUGCCCAAAAUUCACAGAAGGAAUCAUUGGCACUGCUGAUUUCAGGGCUGCGAGGCCAAAUCCCGUGUCCCGGUGGCAGGGUGAAUCAGGGCGAUCAGGCACACUGUUUCAGAGCAAAGAAAUGUGGCGUCAAGGCCAAAUGUUGGUGCCUCGCUCCAGAAGAAAUGGAACGGCUGGCUGCAGUGCAGCUACGCAGCGUUUCCAGCAAUUAAUUCAGCGAAAAGGGAGGGAAGAACCAUGGCCCUCCAGGCUAGCCGGGCUUUUUUUUUGGCAUUCCCAAGUACGGUGCCUG